rnacentral:rRNA from 1 species
AGACAGGUGGUGCAUGGUUGUCGUCAGCUCGUGUCGUGAGAUGUUGGGUUAAGUCCCGCAACGAGCGCAACCCCUAUCCUUUGUUGCCAGCGCUUCGGGUGGGGACUCUGAAGAGACUGCCCGGGAUAAACCGGAAGAAGGGGGGGAUGACGUCCAAUCAUCAUGGCCCUUAUGACUUGGGCUACACACGUGCUACAAUGGCGUAAACAAAGGGAAGCGAAGCCGUGAGCGGGAGCAAAUCCCAAAAAUUGCGUCCCAGUUCGGAUUGGAGUCUGCAACUCCACUACAUGAAGCUGGAAUCCCUAGUAAUCCCGAAUCAAAAUGGCGCGGUGAAUACGUUCCCGGGUCUUGUACACACCGAA